CAAGAAGUGGCCCGCGCCCUCGAGAGUUACAUCGUCGUGGUCGAAAUAGAAGCCGAGAGAGAGGCACCCAAAGAACUGCGGGGUCACCCUUGGCUCAGCCCCACCUCUGCUGGAAGGGUCCAUCGGCUUCAGUGUCUCUCUGCUCGGGCCUCUGAGGCAGGACCCAGCCCUGCCCCACGGCUGUGCACACAGUAAAUGAGGGCUGACCAGCGCAGAGCCAACAUUCCACGCUCGGGCUACUUGCUCGGGGGGAAGCCAGCUGCCGUGGCAUGAACAUCACUGGGAAGAAACCCAAGGAACGGAGGCCUCCAGUCAACAGCCAUGUGAGUAGCUUGGAAGCAGAACUUCCAGCCCCUGUCGAACCUUCAGAUGACUGCCAGCCUGAGCAGAACUACCCAGAUC